GGUCUAAGAUCAAUUCACAUAUUCAAUUCACAUACAUAUUCAAUCAAAGUUUUGAUAAUAAAAAUUCGCCAAUUUUUGCAAAUGACGAAUUGUUUCUUUGCUUAUCAAAAGCUUAGAGCAUAAAGGUAAUUAAAAUCCGGUGGAAAAGCCCCUGGUUGGGUAAAAGAAAUAAACUUUAAAUUAUUUUCCAUACAACUGAUUGUAAUACAGGAACAGAGCUGGGUGACAUGUUGAUGGAAAUGGAAACCUCGUUCAUAACAGAGGCCUUGUUGCAUUUUGUUCUCUUCGCAAGCAUGUAAAUUUGUUAAGGUAACAAAAAAUGACAAUUCCACUGAUCAAAAUAUAAUGAAAUAGACUGGUUUAUUUCUUCACCAUAGUAAAGUUGCACAUCUCAAGUUCCAUUUAACGAAAAA